UACGUAGGGUGCAGGCGUUUAAUCGGAAUUACUGGGCGUAAAGCGUGCGCAGGCGGUUUCUUAAGUCAGAUGUGAAAGCCCCGGGCUUAACCUGGGAACUGCGGUUGAAACUACAGGGCUAGAAUCUGGCAGAGGGGGGUGGAAUUCCACGGUGUAGCAGUGAAAUGCGUAGAGAUGUGGAGGAACACCGAUGGCGAAGGCAGCCCCCUGGGCUGAGAUUGACGCUCAGGCACGAAAGCGUGGGGAGCAA
rnacentral:rRNA from 1 species